rnacentral:rRNA from 1 species
AUGACGAAAAGAAGCCACGCGACCGUCCUUGACGACCUGCCCGACUGGAUUGUCAUCGAAGAGAUCCUUGUCCGUUUGCCCCCCAAGGACCUCCUUCGCUGCCGUGCUGUCCGCAAGAUGUGGCACAGUGCCACCUCCAGCAACAAGUUCAUGCUCGACAACUGCCGCCGUCAACCCUUGCUCCCUGUGAUCAGAAAGCAUAUCCCUGGGCAGGAAGGAGUCGGGUUCAUUGUCUUCUGUGAUAACGAUGCAGGAGCCUCCGACCAAAACCUCUGGCCAAUCAUUCAGCACUCUAAGUUAAGUUAUCUCGUGGGCACCUGUGAUGGCCUUCUAAUCUUGGCCGGCGAAUCCGAUUUCUGGAUCUGCAACCCGGCCACUCGCAAAUGUGCUCUACUACCACAACCUCGAGUUUCAUCGCCUUCGUCAGAGGGUUCCGAUGACUACGUAGCUGGCUUCUACCGGCACCAUCCAUCUGGGGAAUACCGGGUGCUCUGGUUCUCAAAUGGCUCAUAUCGUGGCUACAUCCUAACGGUAGGAUCCGACAAGCCGAGGAUCGUUAGUCGGCCGUCAGUGUCAUCACGUUUGCCGAAAUGCAGGCGCGAUAUGGCUUUUGAUUCCUGCUGUAGUUCACAAGUCAACCACCGGGGCAGCCUGCACUGGUUAACGGGAAUGGAGACGGAGACUUCUGUGGACAUCUUGGUGUUCGACACAGUAACUGAGACGUUCCGGUGGAUGCGCAGUUCUGGCCAGUUGGGCUAUCAGGUGUCAUUGUGGGAGAUGGACAACAAGCUUGCUUCAUGCAGCACCAAUGAUGCCAGCAUAGAGAUUUGGAUGAUGCAAGACUACGAGGCUGAGGCCUGGGCCUUGAAGUACCGAAUUAACUUGUUAGCGAUGAAGACAUUACCACAAUUCGAGUAUGUUUCUAAGAUGGCACUGCUUAACCAGCGUGAGCUGCUGAUCUAUUGUCACACUGCAUCGGAGUGUCCCGACUUUAUGUUGCACUGUGACAUUGAUGGAAAGUUUUUGGGAUAUGUUGAAAUCAAAGAGGGAAAGUACUCCGUAUACUUCACUUAUCAGUACUUUCAGGAGAGCAUUCUUCCACUUCCGUUCUGUGAGAUGCAAGAAGAAGGUGGUGUGGAUAAGGAGCCUCCAUUCUUCAUAGGGCUAUAA